UAAGAAUAAAAAUUUUCAUUUCAUCCUUAUCCCCUCGUGUCUAGAAAAAAUAAAAAAUCUAUUGAGGCACUAAGAAGAUCCAUCCCUCAAAUUUUCACAGCCAAGUUCCCAGCCUCAUGUUCCAUCGCCUUCACUUCACAUUUUCAACACACACAGUAUAUUCCCAAUCUCCUUCUUCUUCAACAACACACAUAUCCAUUCUUUCAUUCUCUCUCAUGGCUUCUUCUUCCAUUUCCGCACCAAUGCUCACCUUCCCGACGCUAGAAGCUUGCCGUUCCGUUCCCCGCACAAUGGACGCCCUUGCUUUUCUCGUUCCCAUCGUAACCCCCCUAUCGCUGCCUCGCCUCUUCCUCCUCCGACGACCGCAGUGCCGGCGCCAAACGCAGCGGCUAAGACUCCGUGCUGCACCAGUUCUCCGAGGUCGCCAACCGAGUCGAUUCCUACUGGAAGUCCCUUGGGAACGCCGCUGCUGACGAUCGCGUCCGUGUCGGCGGUGGCGACAAGGAUUGGGAUUAGGAUCGCUGGCGCCAACAUUUCGAGGAAAUCGAUGAGCAAGAGCGCCUCCUUUCGAUUUUCAAAUUACACGGAUUUCAAUUUGCGUCUUCUCAAGUGCUUUUACCAAAGUUUUUGUCAUACAGUUGGAGUAUUUCGAAACUCUUGCAUGUUAUAAUUAUGUUGGAGAAGGAAAGUUACCUAAUGAUCCUAAAGACCUUCCAUCAGCUGAAGAGGCAUUAUCUGAUCCUUACUUCACUGGCUUGGCGAACAUGACUGUGAACCAUCCACUCAACCCAUUUCAAAACUUGAGUUUGAAUUUGAGAGAAGGAAAUUGACCAAAGAUGAUGUAGAGCAUUUUCUGGGAAUUAAGAGGAAAGCUGAACCAUCAAGCUCGGAUACCCCAAAAAAGCCUAAAUCAUAAUUCCUUGGUCUACUAAUUCUGAAGAGUUGAUUCAGUUACCAAAUGGAAAAAUCUCUUUUGAUUGUAGAAGAAGCAAACUUAUCAUCCAGAUCUUUUUCUGGAAGAGUUAGUGAUGAUAAAGCUAACAGAAGUGGAAGGAAGGGAAAUGAAAAAGCAAGGAGUUUUUGAGGAACGUCGAGAACUUUUGAAGGGUGUUAGUGGUGUCUUUAGGCCAAGAGUACUAACAGCUCUGAUGGGUGUAAGUGGUGCCGGCUAUUCAAGGAGUUCCUAAGAUCAAAGAAGGUUAUAAUCCUGCAACCUGGAUGUUGGAAGUUACAUCAGCAGGCAUAGAAGCAUCUCUUAAGGUCAACUUCACCAAUGUGUACAGAAACUCAUAACUAUACCGACAACUAUUUAUUUUGAUUAUGUCAUUCUCCCUAGCAGUUGAGGCACUUCAUGCAUUCAUACAAGAUGAAUCAGAGUACAAGUGAUUGCUAUUGGUGUCUUUAGUAAUAUGGUGCUAUCCAAUUGGCAAACCUCAUGAGUAGUAGAAGCAACAGUCAAGAGGGAAAGAACCAUGGCAUAUGCCUUCUCUCAUCAGUGGAGGGCCUGCUCUAGCCAAGGCCUAGGUAAUUAUGAACUACUUGGCAAAGCUAGUUGGAGUUGGAGCUAGAAGGAUCGUUGGGUUGCUGCACUGCCCACAUUCAAUUAUAUGGUUAGGUGGAUGGCUAUGGAGAACCUCAUGUUAGAGGAUGCUGGAACACAAUGCUAUAAUAAGAUGUGACAUUGGGGCAUGAGUUUCUGUAUUAUUUGCAUGAAGUUCUGGGCAUGUAGUUUUUUUUUAUCAUUUUGUUUUACAUGCUUAGUCUUUAGUUCAUUCUUUGGAGUUUUGGACGAUCUUGUUUUGAGCCGAGAUAAUUUUAUUAUUUAUUUGGACAAGUUCUAUUAUGAUGUUAGAAAAAUGAAUGCGAGUCUUACACCCUUGUGAAAUGUUUUUAUUUAAAUGUGUUUUAAAACUUUUAAUUAAUUUCACAUUCCUAUUCCUUUUAUUAUUAGUAUAUAUAUGUGUGGGGUGAAGGGUGUCACAAUUUCAAAAUGGGCGGUAUUUGGUUUAAAAAUUUUAAAAUAGGUAGU